UACAGAGGUCUCCAGCGUUGUUCGGCUUCACUGGGCGUAAAGGGUGCGUAGGCGGUCGGGUAAGUCUGACGUGAAAUCUUCAAGCUCAACUUGGAAACUGCGUCGGAUACUAUUCGGCUAGAGGAAUGGAGGGGAGACUGGAAUACUUGGUGUAGCAGUGAAAUGCGUAGAUAUCAAGUGGAACACCAGUGGCGAAGGCGAGUCUCUGGACAUUUCCUGACGCUGAGGCACGAAAGCCAGGGGAGCAAACGGG
rnacentral:rRNA from 1 species